CCUGGUUGAUUCUGCCAGUAGUCAUAUGCUUGUCUUAAAGAUUAAGCCAUGCAUGUCUAAGUAUAAGCAAUUAUACAGCGAAACUGCGAAUGGCUCAUUAAAUCAGUUAUCGUUUAUUUGAUAGUACCUUACUACAUGGAUAACCGUGGUAAUUCUAGAGCUAAUACAUGCUGAAAACCCCGACUUCGGAAGGGGUGUAUUUAUUAGAUUAAAAGCCAAUGCCCUCCGGGGCUCACUGGUGAUUCAUGAUAACUUCUCGAAUCGCACGGCCUUGCGCCGGCGAUGGUUCAUUCAAAUUUCUGCCCUAUCAACUUUCGACGGCUGGGUCUUGGCCAGCCGUGGUGACAACGGGUAACGGAGGGUUAGGGCUCGACCCCGGAGAAAACGCCUGAGAAACGGCGUUUACAUCCAAGGAAGGCAGCAGGCGCGCAAAUUACCCAAUGCCGACACGGCGAGGUAGUGACGAGAAAUACUGAUACAGGGCUCUUUUGGGUCUUGUAAUUGGAAUGAGUACAAUUUAAAUCUCUUAACGAGGAACAAUUGGAGGGCAAGUCUGGUGCCAGCAGCCGCGGUAAUUCCAGCUCCAAUAGCGUAUAUUAAAGUUGUUGCAGUUAAAAAGCUCGUAGUUGAACCUUGGGCCUGGCUGGCCGGUCCGCCUCACCGCGUGCACUGGUCCGGCCGGGCCUUUCCCUCUGGGGAGCCCCAUGCCCUUUACUGGGCGUGGCGGGGAACCAGGACUUUUACUUUGAAAAAAUUAGAGUGUUCAAAGCAGGCCUAUGCUCGAAUACAUUAGCAUGGAAUAAUAGAAUAGGACGUGUGGUUCUAUUUUGUUGGUUUCUAGGACCGCCGUAAUGAUUAAUAGGGACAGUCGGGGGCGUCAGUAUUCAAUUGUCAGAGGUGAAAUUCUUGGAUUUAUUGAAGACUAACUACUGCGAAAGCAUUCGUCAAGGAUGUUUUCAUUAAUCAGGAACGAAAGUUAGGGGAUCGAAAACGAUCAGAUACCGUUGUAGUCUUAACCAUAAACUAUGCCGACUAGGGAUCGGGCGGUGUUAUUUUUUGACCCGCUCGGCACCUUACACGAAAGUACAAGUUUCUGGGUUCUGGGGGAGUAUGGUCGCAAGGCUGAAACUUAAAGAAAUUGACGGAAGGGCACCACCAGGGGUGAACUGUUGCUUAGCCGCAGCGUCUCUGCCCGUGAAAGCGGCCUGUUGCACAGCGCAGCAGGUGGGUGGCGUGUCCCUCGUAAAACAACCGUAAGCGCUAGUCACCACAGCGUGGCGACACCCUCAAAUUGCGGGGACAGCCUAAAGGCGCUCGAGUACGAAACAGCGGGAAACCAGCUGGCCGGCCGCCGCCGGACGUGAAAACCUCAGCGCAUGCUACAAUGGCCAAUCCGCAGCCGAGCCCCUAAGGGUACCACGCCUAGGGGGAAGGUUCAGAGACUUGACGGGGGUGGUCCCUCUCCGGAGGGGCUAAGAUAAAGUCCGAGCUCGGGGCGAAAGCCCCGGGAUGUUGGUGCUCUGCCAACUGAAAAAUGGGAGCCUGCGGCUUAAUUUGACUCAACACGGGGAAACUCACCAGGUCCAGACACAACGAGGAUUGACAGAUUGAGAGCUCUUUCUUGAUUUUGUGGGUGGUGGUGCAUGGCCGUUCUUAGUUGGUGGAGUGAUUUGUCUGCUUAAUUGCGAUAACGAACGAGACCUUAACCUGCUAAAUAGCCCGCGUCGCUUUGGCGGCGCGCAGGCUUCUUAGAGGGACUAUCGGCUCAAGCCGAUGGAAGUUUGAGGCAAUAACAGGUCUGUGAUGCCCUUAGAUGUUCUGGGCCGCACGCGCGCUACACUGACACAGCCAGCGAGUCCUUCCUUGGCCGAGAGGCCCGGGUAAUCUUGUUAAACUGUGUCGUGCUGGGGAUAGAGCAUUGCAAUUAUUGCUCUUCAACGAGGAAUCCCUAGUAAGCGCAAGUCAUCAGCUUGCGUUGAUUACGUCCCUGCCCUUUGUACACACCGCCCGUCGCUACUACCGAUUGAACGGCUCAGUGAGGCCUUCGGACUGGCCCAGGGAGGUGGGCAACUACCACCCAGGUGCCGGAAAGUUGUACGAACUCGGUCGUUUAGAGGAAGUAAAAGUCGUAACAAGGUCUCCGUUGGUGAACCAGCGGAGG
rnacentral:rRNA from 1 species